AAUUACAAGCUUGGAAGAUUAAGGGAGUGCAGUAGAUGCAAUGCAUCUUUAUUUCGGUAACACUUUUGACAAGGAUAAAAAGGACCACGGUGGAUGCUGCUGAUUCUGGACAUCCAUCGACAAGUGGGCUACGGAAUCAUCAAAACCCAAAUGAACAGUCACAGAAGCGGCAGAAAUAUACAAUGCCAGAAAACCGCACAGUCAUGAAAUGCUAUUACAACUCUGAACCUGAAAAGCGCGGCUACCAAAAAAGGAUGCAUCAGCUAUGGAAACAAGAGUACCCUGACUCACAGAUAACAGAACCCCGACUGGCUGACCAACGAAAAUUCAUAAUCAGAAACAAAAUGUUCAGUGAAGUUGAACUCGAAGAAAUCCAGAAAAUCUGCAGAGCAAAUUACCAUCAGACCACAGCACAGACAGCAGCAGAGACUCCAGCAACACUUGGAAUGGUGGAACAGAUUGAACCAGAAGAAAGUGUGGAGCUUUUGCAAGAAUUUGAUGAACCAGCACUUGAAACACCUGUUGAACCACCAGGAACCUUGACAGCAAGACAACAAGAGCUCAAGAGUAAGAUCAUGGCUCAUGCUGCAGCAAAUGCAAUAAGACAGCGGUUCCCAACUCUAAAAACAGUGCCCAAGAGACACCUGGCGCCUCUCAUGAAAGAUGUGAAUGCAGUACUCUCCACUGUCCAAAUAACAUCAAUUGAACAAACAAACCAGUAUGCCUACAGUGCAGCAGUGAUAGUAACAGAAGAGCUUGGGCUCCUACAACCAAGGCAGCCCCAAAGAAAAUCGACUGGAAAACCAAAGUGGAAGGUCAAGCUAGAGUUGAAAAUCAAGAAACUUAGAUCAGAUGCAAGUAACCUGAAAAAUAUGAAAGAGAAGAAACUGAAGAAUGACAAAAUCAAGCAAUACCUGAUCAGAAAGUACUGGCUGAACACCAGAAAAAUUGAAGAAGCUUUGGAAAUUGUGAAAGAACAAAUUACAGCAACAGCCAGAAAAAUUGAGAGAUAUGAAGCCAGAAUCACCCAGUACAGACAAAAUCAACUGUUUCAAUCAGACCAAAGACGGUUCUACCAGAGUCUGAACCAAACAACAGACACAGUAACCAUAAAGCCAGAGAAAACUGCAACAACGAAGUUCUAGAAAGAGCUUUGGGAAAAUAAUAAGAACUACAACAAAAACGCUGGGUGGAUAAAGGAGUUUGAAGGAAAAUUCUCACAGAACAAAAUGGAACAGAUGGAAAUAACAACUGAAAUGAUCAGCAAACGAGUACAAAAAGUCAAGAUCUGGACAUCGCCUGGUAGUGAUCAAAUUCAUGGAUUUUGGCUCAAACAUCUGAUUAGUUUACAUGGAAAAAUGGCCCAACAAUUCAAUGAGAUGCUGCAGAAAGGAAGUAUCAGUGAAUGGCUAACAACUGGAAGAACUUACCUGAUACGAAAGGAUCCAGCAAAAGGAGCAGCAUCAGGAAACUACAGGCCAAUAACGUGUCUGCCCACUAUGUUUAAACUACUGACUGGCAUCAUAGCUGACAGAAUUCAAGACUAUCUUGAAGAAAAAAACAUCUUGCCAGAUGAACAGAAAGGCAACAAACGGAAAAGCAGGGGCACAAAAGACCAGUUAUUGAUUGACAAAAUGAUUCUGGAGAACUGUAAAAGCCGAAAAGCUAAUCUUCACAUGACGUGGAUUGACUACAAAAAGGCCUUUGACUCACUCCCACACAGCUGGAUCAUCAAGUGCCUGGACGCCAUCGGGAUUAGUAAAAACGUUGGCACCUUCAUUGAAAACAUGAUGGAGCACUGGAAAACUGAACUGUUUGUUGGAAAUGAAAACUAUGGACUUGUCAACAUCAGGAGAGGAAUUUUCCAGGGAGACUCAUAGUCCUCUCUGCUUUUCAUUAUUGCCAUGAUCCCUCUGUCAACAAUCUUACAAAAAACAAAUCUCGGCGAUCAAACAUCUAAGAAUUCUCACAAAAUUUCGCAUCUGAUGUACAUGGAUGACCUGAAGAUGUAUGGAAAAACGGAAACUGAAAUCCAGUCUCUGACUAACACUGUCCGAAUUUUUAGCACUGAUAUCAGCAUGGAGUUUGGCUUGGACAAAUGUUCAUCAGUGGCAUUGAAGAAGGGAAAAAUCAUUGAAAGUGAGGGCAUAAAUAUGCCUAAUGGCCAAACAAUAAAGUGUCACCAGCCAGAGGCCUAUAAAUAUCUGAGCAUAUUACAGCUGGACAACAUCAAGCAUGAACAUGUGAAGACUGUGGUCAGCAAAGAAUGCACACAAAGGGUCAGAAAAAUUCUCAAAAGCAAGCUCAAUGGAGGCAACACUAUCAAGGCCAUAAACACCUGGGCCAUACCUGUCAUAAGAUAUGCUGCUGGCAUCAUAAAUUGGACACAGAUGGAACUGGACAAUUUGGACAGAAAAACAAGAAAACUCAUGACCAUUCAUCAUUCACUGCAUCCUCGCAGUGAUGUUGACCGGCUAUAUCUGCCUAGAAGAUCAGGGGGCAGAGGACUCUUACAAGUAAAACAAGCAGUCAAAGAAGAAGAACAUGCCCUGGCAGAAUAUGUAAAGCAAAGUGAAGAACCUGCUUUGAUUGAAGUCAAAAAUCAGAAACUCCUCAAAGCACAGCAGACAAAAAACCAGUACAAGAAAGCCACACUACAAACUAGAGCUGACAGCUGGCACAACAAAACAUUGCAUGGAAAGUUCCUUGACAAAAUUGAAGGAAAAGCUGAUAAGGAGAAGACCUGGCUCUGGCUCACAAAUGGGACCCUGAAGAAGGAGACAGAAAGCCUGGAUCCUUGCAGCCCAGGAGCAAGCCAUAAGAACAAACGCAAUUAAGGCCAAGAUUGAAAAAUCAGCUGAUGACCCAAAAUGCAGACUGUGCAAGGAAGCUGACGAAACCAUUGAUCACAUCCUCAGCUGCUGUAAGAAAAUUGCACAGACAGACUACAAACAGAGGCACAACUAUGUGGCCCAAAUGAUUAAUUGGAACUUAUGCCUCAAAUACCACCUCCCAGCAGCAAAGAACUGGUGGGAUCACAAAUCUGCAAAAGUAUUGGAGAAUGAGCAUGCAAAAAUACUGUGGGACUUUCGAAUCCAGACUGACAAAGUUCUGGAACACAACACACCAGACAUCACAGUUGUGGAAAAGAAAAAGGUUUGGAUCAUUGAUGUCGCCAUCCCAGGUGACAGUCGCAUUGACGAAAAACAACAGGAAAAACUCAGCCGCUAUCAGGACCUCAAGAUCGAACUGCAAAGACUCUGGCAGAAACCAGUGCAGGUGGUCCCGGUGGUGAUGCGCACAUUAGGUGCCGUGCCAAAAGAUCUCAGCCGGCAUUUGGAAACAAUAGACAUUGACAAAAUUACGAUCUGCCAGCUGCAAAAGGCCACCCUGCUGGGAUCUGCGCGCAUCAUCCGAAAAUACAUCACACAGUCCUAGACACUUGGGAAGUGUUCGACUUGUGAUUUUGUGAUAUGAAAUCCAGCAUAUCUAU
rnacentral:lncRNA from 1 species